rnacentral:lncRNA from 1 species
UAGGAUGGAUACGAGGAGGGGCAUGAGGAAUGGAUCCACAUUUAGAAAGGGGAAAAACCCUAAAAAGGUGGUCUAGUUUCGAUGCUAAAACACACAGAUCAGGCACAAAAAGGGAUGGGAAGCAGUGUUACCUCUUGGAUCUUGUGGGGCUCAGGACCACCGAAUCGAGGAUGCACGUGCGCCUAAGAUAAAGUGGAUUAAGAACACCACAGGCGACAAAACGCAUCAAUCAAAAAAGGGAAAAGUAGAUCUUACCUCUCCGCUGUUAGUGUCGAGCGGUUCCGCCUUCCGCUUCUUCCCUUCCACAAAAAAGUUGGCUCCAUGGCUUCGGAUGGCGGCGAGGUGAGAUGAAAGGGAAAGGGGCGGCAGAGAGCGGCGAGGUCAGAUGGCUCGGCUGCUUGACGGAUCAAUUAAAAGGGAAGGGAAACGGAUCCAGCAUUAGCACAUCCAAGGUUGGCCCCACAUGUAAGUAUCACUGCAGCCCAUAUGUAAAUGGGUUCAUUACGGCCCACCUGUCGGAAGCACACGGUCAACGAGCCAUGACCGUUAGCAGGUGCGCUAUGAGGGCAUUUAUGAGCAAUCGCCAAAGGAGUAAGUGUAGAAGAGAUCGGCGUUUUAAGACUUGAACAAAAUUGAGUAGAACUAAGAAACCGAGGGGGCGAAAAUAAAAAUCCCUAAAUAAAAAAUAAUCUCAGCUCACUUAAUUAAGAUAUGAGCUUUGCUUCUAUGCACCCCAAAGAAAAGUUUACGAAUCUCAAAGCAAACUUGUUUGAGUGGUUGUUAUGAUUACCACAUUUGGUCUGCACUGCAGCACUUAGGUAGAAAAAAAAAGGUGUGAACUGCAUUUGGAUAAAAUAAAAGGUGUGAACUACACUUAGAUAAAAAAGAGUGUGAAGUGCACUUAGGUAAGAGCAUUUUCGCCCUUACCUAUCACUCUAUCAUCGUGGUUUUGCCCGUUACAGUCCUCCUAUUGUCCAAUGGUUCUGAAUGCUUCAAGAUUAAUGACCCUCUGCAUCUCUCUUUUGUCCUCCAGCAGUGUUAUGUAUUUUGUGAAAAACAUUUUUAAGUGGUUGUUAUGAUUACCACCUUAAAUUUGCACCGCAUGUUUUAGAUCUAGUGAUCUGCGAGGAUAGUUUGCAAGUUUGCACUGAAUGCAGUUUUACACUGGAUAAGUCAACAACUUUUUAAGUGUGAAUUGCACUUAGGAAAAAAAGUGUGAACUUCAUUUGGAUAAAUAAAAAUAUGAACUCCGCUUAGAUAAAAAAAAAGUUGUGAAGUGCACUUAGGUAAGACCGUAAAGAGCCUUUUCGUCCCUAACCUAUACAUCACUCUAUCAUUGUGGUUUUGCCGUCAACGUUCUCAUAUUAUCGAAUGGCUCAGAAUGCUU